rnacentral:rRNA from 1 species
UACGUAGGUUGCGAGCGUUAUUCGGAUUUACUGGGCGUAAAGAGCACCGAGGUGGCUUCUUAAGUUGGAUGUGAAAUCUCCUGGCUUAACUGGGAGGCGCCAUUCAAAACUGAGGAGCUUGAGGUCAGCAGGGGAAGGUGGAAUUCCCGGUGUAGUGGUGGAAUGCGUAGAGAUCGGGAGGAACACCAGUGGCGAAAGCGACCUUCUGGGCUGCACCUGACACUCUAGUGCGAAAGCGUGGGGAGCAAACAGG